GGUUUUGUAGUCAAUAUGAUGAUAUCAGACUGCAAUUUUGAAGGUGUAAUAAUUACUAAAACCU
rnacentral:tRNA from 1 species